rnacentral:rRNA from 1 species
AACGAACGCUGGCGGCAUGCCUAACACAUGCAAGUCGAACGAGACCUUCGGGUCUAGUGGCGCACGGGUGCGUAACGCGUGGGAACCUGCCCUUAGGUUCGGAAUAACUCCCCGAAAGGGGUGCUAAUACCGGAUGAUGUCUUCGGACCAAAGAUUUAUCGCCUUUGGAUGGGCCCGCGUUGGAUUAGCUAGUUGGUAGGGUAAAAGCCUACCAAGGCGACGAUCCAUAGCUGGUCUGAGAGGAUGAUCAGCCACACUGAGACUGAGACACGGCCCAGACUCCUACGGGAGGCAGCAGUGGGGAAUAUUGGACAAUGGGCGAAAGCCUGAUCCAGCAAUGCCGCGUGAGUGAUGAAGGCCUUAGGGUUGUAAAGCUCUUUUACCCGGGAUGAUAAUGACAGUACCGGGAGAAUAAGCUCCGGCUAACUCCGUG